CAGUACCAUUUGCUUAGUGAACGCAUAUACCCAGCUAGACAUUCUAAGAUUGAUGCCAAUUUCAGUAUGCUCACAUGCAGCUCAGAACUUCAAGAGUACAUAAUUUCUUUUUACUGGUUGGUGUCGUAACCGCCUAAGCGACAUUAGUCGAGUCCAACAAAGCACGCCAUUCAUUUCUCUUCUGUGCUAACUGACGCCAAUUGGAAAUGCCAAGUGAAGCCAAGUUUU